UUAGCACAUAUUAGGGAAUCAAAUGGAAAAUUUUGUCGUGACAAUUCAAUUUUCUAAAACAAAUUGUUACGAAUCACGGCUAUUCGUGCGCACCUAACAUCCAACAUCCGAUCUACACAUACCUACACGCACGUGAUGGGUCCACACCUCACAUAAAUGGAACAAAUUAGGUCAUCAUUGGUUUUGAGAGCAGAACAAAAUUAGAAGUGAACUCAGCUAGGCGUGCUCAAAUUAUUUACCUAUAAUCUCUUAAAAUUACUUAGUAAGAUUAACUAAUCGUGGUAUCUAGUGGUAAAUUCCUUAAUACUACCUUAAUAGCUACUAUAGAUCUCGGUAAGAUCAUGCAUACGUGCAAGUAUAUUGAUUAAAUAUUUCCCAAAAUGUGCUAAAACCUAACCUUAAAACUACCUUAUAGGCGAACAUCUCGAACUUAACCAUUAUACGAUUGCUGAACUAAACUAAGAUAGAACCGUUGUGAAUUACACCAUAUUGUUGGUGAGUUACCAAAAUCACUUUAUAGUUGUGUAGUAGCAUUAUAUACUAAUUAACACACAUUAGGCACACCAGUCUGGAUUAACGGUGAUACCGUAAGAGGGGCGUCAACCGUCUCUGACACCAUUAUAGAGCAGUAAACGUAAGUUAAACAUAGUAGUGUUAAUACCCUAAAUAAUGAAUUGAUUGUCGCACCACAGGAAUUUUAUAAUCCUCGUUAAUAAAAAAGAAAUGUUUCACCAAGUAAAAAUUAUAGAGAAGGACCAACAGUGCCAACGCUUUCUCUGGAGAAACAUAGAGGGGAGAGUGGAAACAUACGUGGUACGUGUAAUGACAUUCGGGGCUUGUUGUUCUCCGAGCUGUGCUCAAUAUAUAAAAAAUAUCAAUGCUGAACGCUAUGCACAAAAGUACCCAGCAGCAGCAGAAGUAAUUCUGAAAAAACAUUACGUCGAUGAUAUGCUGAUCAGCGUAGAGACUGAGGAGGCAGCCAUUAGAAUUGCGCAAGAAGUGAAGUACGUGCACGAGCAGGGUGGGUUCCACAUUCGUAACUGGAUAAGCAACUCUAACAGUGUGACGAUAGCGCUGCACGAAGAUAACGCCGAGGAGAAAAAUCUUGACUUGUCUUCCGGAAUGAGUACUGAGAAAGUGCUAGGGAUGUGGUGGUGUACUGCAACGGAUGUCUUCACAUAUAAAAUCGGCUGGAACCGGUAUGAUCGAGCCAUACUAGGCGGCCAACGCUGCCCCACAAAAAGGGAAAUGCUUAGAGUACUCAUGACGAUAUUCGACCCCCUUGGCCUGAUCGCUCAUUUUCUUAUGUUCUUGAAAAUUCUGCUUCAAGAGGUUUGGCGAUCUGGUGUUCAAUGGGACGAUCCUAUCUCCAACGUAUCAUUCGGAAAAUGGAAGCAGUGGCUGGACGUUUUACCCCAAGUGGAACAGGUGACGAUCCCACGAUGCUACCGCCUUCGAGUCUCCUCACCCACCCAGUGCGAGACACAACUGCAUACGUUCGUAGAUGCAAGCGAAAACGGGUUUGCGGCUGCAUCGUAUCUUCGAUUCGUUCAGAACGGAGUGAUAGAGUGCAUACUGGUCUCAGCGAAAACGCGGGUUGCCCCGCUAAAGUUCACGUCCAUCCCCAAGCUAGAGCUCCAAGCAGCUAUUAUCGGCGCGAGACUCGCUCGAUCGAUUGCACAAUCUCUUUCAUUUUCCAUCUCCAAACGAUUCUGGUCCGACUCACGGGACGUGAUCUGCUGGCUAAAUUCGGAUCACCGACGCUACUCUCAAUACGUGGCUUUCCGAGUCAGCGAGAUUCUUGAAACUACGGAGACAAGUGAGUGGCGCUGGGUACCCAGCAAGCUAAACGUAGCCGAUGAUGCCACAAAAUGGUCUGGAAAACCUGAUUUAACUCGUGGUAGCAGAUGGUUUAAUGGUCCGCAGUUUCUCUGGCUUCAGGAGGAAGAAUGGCCCCAGUGUGCGAUUAAAAUCAGUACCACUACCACUGAGCUGCGUCCCCGUCUAUUAAAGCACUCCGUAGUUCCUAAUGCGAUCAUCUGUUUAUCCAAUUUUUCGAGCUGGAAGAAACUGGUCAACGUAGUAGCACUAGUGCAUCGAUUCCCUGAUAACUGUCUUAGGAAGAAACGAAAAAUGGAAACGGUGACAGGACCACCAAACAGCGAUGAACUACAUAAGUCAGAAAGCUUUUUACUCCGUCUUGUGCAAUCUGAAACAUACCCAGAAGAGAUGAACAUUCUCCUCAGAGCACAAAAGUUCCCAAACGAGUUACCAAGUCCGAUGCCAAAGAACAGCGAGCUGUAUCAGUUAACUCCUGUACUUGACCAAAAUGGUAUCAUAAGAAUGCAGGGCAGAGCACGAUAUUUCGACUAUCUGUCAGAAGACGCCAGGAACCCAAUUAUCCUACCUCGCAACCAUUACUUGACCACCUUGAUCAUCGCACACUACCACCAUAAGUAUCAUCAUCAAAAUCACGAAACAGUCAUUAAUGAGAUACGUCAAAAAUAUAAAGUGUCUCGGCUUCGUGUAUGUUAUGCACAGGCCAGGAAACAGUGUCAACGAUGCAAAAAUGAAGGCGCCACUCCACGCCCGCCACUUAUGGCCAAUCUCCCACCGGUACGUCUCGCCGCGUUCUCCCGACCAUUUACGCAUGUGGGAAUCGACUACUUCGGACCGAUCGAGGUAACUGUAGGUAGAAGAGUGGAGAAACGCUGGGGAAUGCUGGCUACCUGCUUAACGAUCCGUGCGAUCCAUAUAGAGGUGGUGCACUCCCUUAGCACCGACUCAUGCAUCAUGGCACUUCGUAAAUUUAUCGCCCGACGGGGUACCCCUAGAACGAUACACAGCGACCGUGGAACCAAUUUCAUUGGCGCAUGCCGUGAACUGAAACAAGCUGCAGCUAACAUCAACCAAGAAGAUAUAGUAAAGGAAUUCUCCAGUACCGAAACGACAUGGUCGUUCAACCCCCCCGCUUCGCCGCACAUGGGCGGUUGCUGGGAGCGCCUUAUCCGAACCGUAAAGAAGAACUUGAUGUCUAUCUAUCCAUCGCGUAAACCAACAGACGAAGUCCUGCAGAAUCUACUGACCGAGAUCGAGAACAUCGUAAAUUCUCGGCCUCUGACCCAUGUCCCAAUCGACGAUGAUUCCGAUCCCGCUCUAACUCCAAAUCACUUCCUGCUUGGGUCUUCUAAUGGCUCAAAACCCCUCAGCACAAACGACGAUAGUGGACAUGCGUUGAAACAGGGAUGGCGCACAUCACAAAUCUUAGCCAACCAGUACUGGAAGCGUUGGGUAACAGAUUACCUCCCAGAAAUCACUCGAAGGACGAAAUGGUUCCUUCAUACGAAGCCUAUAUCCAAAGGCGACGUCGUGGUUAUUGUAGAUCCCCGAUUACCUCGAAACUGCUGGCCGAAAGGAAAAGUUAUUGAAACUUGUGUUGCGAAGGAUGGCCAGAUUCGCUCAGCAACCGUGAGAACAGCGAAUGGUGUGUACACUGAAAGAAAUCCAAACGUUAAUUCUAUUUGCUUCAAACCGCUUAAAAUUCAUAUGAAGAAGAAAUGCUAUUGUUAUCACGCGCACACAUACCUUCUAUGUGUCAACUGUAUAAACUAUGUAUGCACACACAUAAGUUAUAUGUGCAUAUUAUUAUAGAAUGGGGUUUUAUGUGCCUAAUAGUUAUGAAAUGUGAAUGUAAGAUUAAUAUUUCUUGUGAAUACACACAUUAGGUUUAUGUGCCAGCAAAUAGUGUCUAUAUGCCUCCGUUAAUUGCAAAAAUCUAUGUGUAAAAUCAAUAGGCAUAACGUUUACUUUUUUUUGAGUGUACGAGCGUCCCGUUUCUAAAUUGGCGGUACUGGACGUAAGGCGCGACGCACAGUAAGCCAACCCAGUGCUUGGCGUACCCGGGGGGACUGUUACGAAUCACGGCUAUUCGUGCGCACCUAACAUCCAACAUCCGAUCUACACAUACCUACACGCACGUGAUGGGUCCACACCUCACAUAAAUGGAACAAAUUAGGUCAUCAUUGGUUUUGAGAGCAGAACAAAAUUAGAAGUGAACUCAGCUAGGCGUGCUCAAAUUAUUUACCUAUAAUCUCUUAAAAUUACUUAGUAAGAUUAACUAAUCGUGGUAUCUAGUGGUAAAUUCCUUAAUACUACCUUAAUAGCUACUAUAGAUCUCGGUAAGAUCAUGCAUACGUGCAAGUAUAUUGAUUAAAUAUUUCCCAAAAUGUGCUAAAACCUAACCUUAAAACUACCUUAUAGGCGAACAUCUCGAACUUAACCAUUAUACGAUUGCUGAACUAAACUAAGAUAGAACCGUUGUGAAUUACACCAUAUUGUUGGCACACCAGUCUGGAUUAACGGUGAUACCGUAAGAGGGGCGUCAACCGUCUCUGACACCAUUAUAGAGCAGUAAACGUAAGUUAAACAUAGUAGUGUUAAUACCCUAAAUAAUGAAUUGAUUGUCGCACCACAGGAAUUUUAUAAUCCUCGUUAAUAAUAAACGGAUUUAUAAUUACGGAAAAAAGUUCUUAUCGUACGGUGCUGCCAACACAAAUAUUUGUAAUUUUGCGAACAAAAAAUUAAAAA